CAAUGAAGCGACAUCAAGCCGAGGCGAGAGAGAAAAUAAAAAAAAAGAAGAGUAGUACUAGUACAUGAGAUAUAAAAUAUUGAAGAGAAGAUUAAUUUGAAUAAAAUUAUAACGCAAACAAAUACCAUUACAUGCAUGCAUGCGAUGCGACGUCUAUGUUGACUAUUACGUGAUGACUAUGAUGAUUAGUACUAUGACAACGACGACUACAACUAUUAAGAAUUUGAAGAUAUAUAUUUGU
rnacentral:lncRNA from 1 species